UACGGAGGGUGCAAGCGUUAUCCGGAUUCACUGGGUUUAAAGGGUGCGUAGGUGGUUUGUUAAGUCAGGGGUGAAAUCCCGCGGCCCAACCGUGGAACUGCCUUUGAUACUGGCGAACUUGAGUGCGUGAGGGGUAGGGGGAACGAGCAGUGUAGCGGUGAAAUGCGUAGAUAUUGCUCGGAAGGCCAGAGCCGAAGGGGCCCUACUGGUGCGCAACUGACACUGAGGCACGAAAGCGUGGGGAGCAAAUAGG
rnacentral:rRNA from 1 species